GCUGUACCUGAAUGUGAUGCUGGAGAACUUUGAACUUAUAUCCUCCCUGGAUUCCCAGCUCACAGAUAACCUUAACCUCCCUGGACCUUGUACCUCUGCCUCUUUCACAGGUCUCUCUGUACUGCAAGCCAACAUUGGUCCAUGCAUGUAGCACUUUGGAGAGAACACAUGUUAUUAUAUUCGAGUUGUAUAUCCUGUGAGCUAAUAAAAUUAUUUUUUAUG